rnacentral:rRNA from 1 species
UAGGCUUGACAUGUAUUUGACCGUUGUAGAAAUACAAUCUUCCGGGCUUCGGUUCGGACAAUUACAC